rnacentral:rRNA from 1 species
AGAGUUUGAUUCUGGCUCAGGACGAACGCUGGCGGCGUGCCUAAUACAUGCAAGUCGAACGCUUCUCCGAUUGGUGCUUGCACCAAUCAUAUGAGAAGAGUGGCGGACGGGUGAGUAACACGUGGGUAACCUGCCCUUCAGCGGGGGAUAACAUUCGGAAACGGAUGCUAAUACCGCAUAAUUGUUGGAAUCGCAUGAUUCUAAUAUGAAAGACGCUUUACGGUGUCACUGAAGGAUGGACCCGCGCUGCAUUAGUUAGUUGGUGAGGUAAUGGCUCACCAAGACCGUGAUGCAUAGCCGACCUGAGAGGGUGAUCGGCCACACUGGGACUGAGACACGGCCCAG